AAUUUUCCUAACCAAAGCAUUUGGAUGUUUACUAAAAUCUUUUUUGUUGUUGAUGAUUGAAGAAAUGAUGGUCUGCUAGUCACAUUUCACUACAAGCUUUUUGAAGCCCAUAGUCCAAGCAAGGUUGAACCCACUAAGCAUGCCCCAAAGUUCAACCCUAUAUGAUGAGACACAUCCAAUUGAAUGAGAAAAGCCUCCAAUCCACUUGCCAAUGUAGUUCCUUAAGAGACCGCCACAUUCCGCCAUCCUAGUUGCGCCAUUUCUUGAUCCAUUGGUGUUCAAUUUCAACCAUUCCGGUGGGGUCCAAUGUGUGCCUCUUCUCUUCUUCUAGCGUUGAAAGCUCCAUAAUUUCCAGCAAGUGAUGAUAAAAAUAUCUUGUCAAUUUCUGUCCUGAUUAAUCCCAAACUAAUGGGUCAGAUUGUCUUUUACCCAUUAUUUAAAGUUGGUACCGAUUUGAGGUGCGUUGGGCCACAGCAAGUUUGUCCAAAUUGAAGAGACUUUUGGGUAAUUUCUUAAGGCAUUAAUGAUAUCCUCAGCAUGUUGCUCGCAAAGUUGGCAAGUAUUUUCACUGCCAAGAGUUCGAGCUUUCUUUCAUGGAGGUCCUGCCACAUGAAGAAUUUAGCUUUUUGCGGUCCCUUCCAUCUCCAAAUCUAUAUCCAGAGAUUUACCUUGGGUUCUGACCAUGUUGCUAAGGCUUUGUAAGUUACUCCUACUAAAAAGUUCCCAUCUGUUGUGUGCUUCUACCCUAAUUUGUCUUCUUUUAGGUCUUUUGCAGGGGCUGGUUGGGUCGGGAUCUUUCAAACAGUUGUCUCAUCAGGAUCUCCUCUCUUUCUUGGUGCAGAAUUUAAGAAUGUCCACAACUGCACCGGCAAGUGUAUCGGGUCGUCCAAGUAAUACUUCAAGUGAGUGAGAGUCGAUCCCACAAGGACUAAGGAACUAAAUAACAAUGGUCGACUAAUUGGCUUAGUUAGGCGAAUAGAAGAAGUUGGUUUAGUGGUUGAAAUCGCAUAAAACAAUAAACAAAAGUUAAAAAAAAAAGCAAAUAAUGAGUUUAGUGUAAAAACAGUGAGAGAAAAUAGUUAAGGUAUCGAAGAUGUUUACUCUUCCGCAUUAAAAUUUCUUACUAACUAUUUUAACAAUGUAUGAUUCAUUUCAUGGGAAACUGUAAAUGACUAAACCCUAAUGUCUUAGUAAUUUAGUCUCCUCUAACCUUUAUUAACCGCUA